rnacentral:rRNA from 1 species
GAUGAACGCUGGCGGCGUGCCUAAUACAUGCAAGUCGAGCGAACAGACGAGGAGCUUGCUCCUCUGACGUUAGCGGCGGACGGGUGAGUAACACGUGGAUAACCUACCUAUAAGACUAGGAUAACUUCGGGAAACCGGAGCUAAUACCGGAUAACAUGUUGAACCGCAUGGUUCAACAGUGAAAGACGGUCUUGCUGUCACUUAUAGAUGGAUCCGCGCCGCAUUAGCUAGUUGGUAAGGUAACGGCUUACCAAGGCAACGAUGCGUAGCCGACCUGAGAGGGUGAUCGGCCACACUGGAACUGAGACACGGUCCAGACUCCUACGGGAGGCAGCAGUAGGGAAUCUUCCGCAAUGGGCGAAAUCCUGACGGAGCAACGCCGCGUGAGUGAAGAAGGUCUUCGGAUCGUAAAACUCUGUUAUUAGGGAAGAACAAAUGUGUAAGUAACUAUGCACGUCUUGACGGUACCUAAUCAGAAAGCCACGGCUAACUACGUG